AACGAACGCUGGCGGCAGGCCUAACACAUGCAAGUCGAGCGAUACCAGCAAUGGUGGAGCGGCAGACGGGUGAGUAACACGUGGGAACGUACCCUUCGGUUCGGAAUAACUCAGGGAAACUUGAGCUAAUACCGGAUACGUCCGAGAGGAGAAAGNUUUAUCGCCGAAGGAUCGGCCCGCGUCUGAUUAGCUAGUUGGUGAGGUAAUGGCUCACCAAGGCGACGAUCAGAGCUGGUCUGAGAGGAUGAUCAGCCACAUUGGGACUGAGACACGGCCCAAACUCCUACGGGAGCAGCAGUGGGGAAUAUUGGACAAUGGGCGCAAGCCUGAUCCAGCCAUGCCGCGUGAGUGAUGAAGGCCCUAGGGUUGUAAAGCUCUUUCGCACGCGACGAUAA
rnacentral:rRNA from 1 species